rnacentral:rRNA from 1 species
GCUAGGGUAUAAGGUGUAGAGGUGAGUAUAUUAAAUAAGAUACCCUAUAGUCUUCAUAGCUAGGAGAUAUAGAGUAAAGGAACAUUUCUGCUAUAGGAUUCUAUUUAAUUUGAUUAGGUAGUUGGUAGGGUAAAGGCCUACCAAGCCAACGAUCGAAAGUCAUGUUUUAAAGAACCUCUGGCCACAUUGGGGAUGAGAUCUCCCAAGUAGUAUUAACACUACCAGCAGUCGAGAAUAUUAGUCAAUGCUCGAAAGAGUGAACUAGCUAACUGAAAUCAUAGAAUUUCUUUAAAUUCAUGAUGUCGUAAGGGAAAAUAAUGAUAUUACCUUACUAUGAGUGUCGUCCAAAGCUGGUGCCAGAAGACUCGGUAAGACCAGAGACGCAAACGUUAAUCAUCUUAAACAGGCGUAAAGGGUUUGUAGGCAGCUUUCAUAAGAUUGUUUCUUACAAAAAUAAAGAAGUGGUCUGAUUGAAAGCUAGAAUCAAAAAGAGGUUAUAGUGUAUAACGCCUAGAGGAGGGCUGAUAUCCUUAGAUCCUAGGCAGAAUACUUAGGGCGAAGGCCACUCUCCACUAAUGAUUGACGCUGAGAAACGAAGGUAAGGGUAGGAAAUAGGAUUAGAUACCCCGGUACUCCUUUCUGUAAACGAUGAAUGGUAGUCAUUAGUAAAAUUAAAAAUUACUAGAGACGAAGUUAACACAAUAACCAUUCCGCCUUGUGAGUACUACUGCAAAGUAGAAAACAAAAAAAUUAGUCGGUCUCGAAGCAAACGGAGUGAAGCAUGUUAUUUAAUACGAUAAUCCGCGUAAAACCUUACCAGAACUUGCAUACAAACUAUCUUUUUCUUUACUUUGUAAUAACAAGGCAAAUAAAAGGGUGGGAGUAUUUUAUACUUUUUUUUAAAUACUUAAGUACAGGUGU